GCCUACGGGACGCAGCAGUGGGGAAUAUUGGGCAAUGGGCGAAAGCCUGACCCAGCAACGCCGCGUGAAGGAAGAAGGCUUUCGGGUUGUAAACUUCUUUUGACAGGGAAGAGCAGAAGACGGUACCUGUCGAAUAAGCCACGGCUAACUACGUGCCAGCAGCCGCGGUAAUACGUAGGUGGCAAGCGUUAUCCGGAUUUACUGGAUGUAAAGGGAGCGCAGGCGGCACGGCAAGCCUGAUGUGAAAGUCCGCGGCCCAACCGCGGGACUGCAUUGGGAACUACCGGGCUGGAGUGCCGGAGAGG
rnacentral:rRNA from 1 species